UCCUGUCAAGACAUUUGUUUAGAGCACUUAGUUCCUGCUGCGGCGCUGUGAGUCGGUACUGAAAAUACAUAGGUGAAGCCAUCUUGGUGUGCUCUCGCGUGAUAAGAAAUAUGCCGCUACUAAGGAUGCUGCUAAUAAUUUCGUUUCCUUGUUUCGUCCUUGCUCAAAUGCCUGGACGCGUUUCAGCAUAUUGGCAGGAAAAACGUCCUUUAAGCAUAAUGGAUGGAUGGGAGUUUUUCUCGAGACGUCUGCAUUACGUCAUGGUGCAAAGGACGUACAAAGUACCUGGAGGAGAAAACAAUGCUAUAUGUAUCAUGGCACCUUUUUCGGCCAUUAUCAACACCGAGAAACGCGAGUUGGAGAAGACUUUCACUUAUCGCAACCUAAGCUCCACACAAAAACUGCAUGAUGAUCUGGCGAGCAACGCUACUUACUGGCCAAUUGCAAAGUUUCGUAUGCAAUUUUACGAGACAAAUAUUCGCCUGAAGGAAAGUUCAAUACGGAAGGAAAAGCACAACUUUGUUAACUCAACGACGAUUAUGAGUGCCUACGGAUACGCUCUUGACCCACCAUAUUGGCAGUUCCUGUACUCUCGUGCAACUUGCUGCGGUUGUCAAUGUGCGCCCAAUGACAUUUGCUUAUAGUGGUGAACCACUUGGAAGCCGCAUCAAAACGAAGCCACAAUGUGAACUGUGGAUUACUGCAAGCUUGAAUAAUACUGAAAAUGAAAUAAAGCUCAGAAGCAAAGGGACCUUAUGUCAUACUUACUUCAACAGCUUGUGUGACAGAUCAGAUGUGCAAAAAGUGUACAUUCCGGAGUUGUGUUCACGAACGCAAUAAAGUGAACAAUGGUGAA